GUUGACUGCCGGUGACAAACCGGAGGAAGGUGGGGAUGACGUCAAAUCAUCAUGCCCCUUAUGAUUUGGGCUACACACGUGCUACAAUGGACAAUACAAAGGGUAGCGAAACCGCGAGGUCAAGCAAAUCCCAUAAAGUUGUUCUCAGUUCGGAUUGUAGUCUGCAACUCGACUAUAUGAAGCUGGAAUCGCUAGUAAUCGUAGAUCAGCAUGCUACGGUGAAUACGUUCCCGGGUCUUGUACACACCGCCCGUCACACCACGAGAGUUUGUAACACCCGAAGCCGGUGGAGUAACCAUUUGGAGCUAGCCGUCGAAGGUGGGACAAAUGAUUGGGGUGAAGUCGUAACAAGGUAGCCGUAUCGGAAGGUGCGGCUGGAUCACCUCCUUUCUAAGGA
rnacentral:rRNA from 1 species